UGGGGAAUAUUGCACAAUGGACGCAAGUCUGAUGCAGCAACGCCGCGUGGAGGAUGACGCAUUUCGGUGUGUAAACUCCUUUUAUAGGGGAAGAUAAUGACGGUACCCUAUGAAUAAGCACCGGCUAACUCCGUGCCAGCAGCCGCGGUAAUACGGAGGGUGCAAGCGUUACUCGGAAUCACUGGGCGUAAAGGAUGCGUAGGCUGGAAAUCAAGUCGAAAGUGAAAUCCAAUGGCUCAACCGUUGAACUGCAUUCGAAACUGGUUACCUAGAAUAUGGGAGAGGUAGAUGGAAUUAGUGGUGUAGGGGUAAAAUCCGUAGAUAUCACUAGGAAUACCGAUUGCGAAGGCGAUCUACUGGAACAUUAUUGACGCUGAGGCAUGAAAGCGUGGGGAGCAAACA
rnacentral:rRNA from 1 species